GACAGAUACGCCUAUAAAAGACAACAGCACUCUAUCGACAGAGAGCGAGGAGAGAGGAAAAACGGAGAGAACAGGUUACGGCCACUGAGGGGAAUGUGAAGGAAUGACUGCAGUAAAGUGUUGGUUCUUUGGAUAUUUCUACUUGCUAUCCCACUGCAGUUGAAGCUCAGCGGUGCUCAAAGGCCACCUAGAGGCUUCAUCGGGGAACUGCACAGCACAAAAUACUGCAGUACCCCCUCCUCUUCAAGCUUUUUCCCCGACUGAGGAGGCAGAGCUGGGGGAGGAGAGUGAGAUGUCGCAAG